UACGUAGGGGGGCAAGCGUUGUCCGGAAUCAUUGGGCGUAAAGAGCGUGUAGGCGGUUCGGUAAGUCGGCUGUGAAAGUCCAGGGCUCAACCCUGGGAUGCCGGUCGAUACUGCCGGACUAGAGUUCGGAAGAGGCGAGUGGAAUUCCCGGGUGUAGCGGUGAAAUGCGCAGAUAUCGGGAGGAACACCUAUGGCGAAGGCAGCUCGCUGGGACGUUACUGACGCUGAGACGCGAAAGCGUGGGGAGCAAACAGG
rnacentral:rRNA from 1 species